rnacentral:rRNA from 1 species
UAAGGAAUAUUGCUCAAUGGGAGAAAUCCUGAAGCAGCAACGCCGCGUGGAGGAUGAAGGGUCUAUGACUUGUAAACUCCUGUAAAGAAGGAAAAAAUUCCCAUUAGAUGGGAGAUGAUGGUACUUCUGGAGUAAGCCCCGGCUAACUACGUGCCAGCAGCCGCGGUAAUACGUAGGGGGCAAGCGUUGUACGGAUUUACUGGGUGUAAAGGGUGCUCAGGCGGAUUUGUAAGUCAGAGGUGAAAUCUUACAGCUUAACUGUGAAACUGCCUUUGAUACUGCAAGCCUAGAGUAUGGAAGAGAGUGAUGGAAUAUCUGGUGUAGCAGUGAAAUGCGUAGAUAUCAGAUAGAACACCAAUGGCGAAGGCAGUCACGUGGUCCAUUACUGACGCUAAAGCACGAAAGCGUGGGUAGCAAACA